rnacentral:rRNA from 1 species
CCUGGCUCAGAACGAACGCUGGCGGCGUGCUUAACACAUGCAAGUCCUACGAGAAAGUCCCUUCGGGGAUGAGUAAAGUGGCGAACGGGUGAGUAAUACGUGGGUAACCUGCCUUUACGACUGGGAUAACAUUCCGAAAGGGGUGCUAAUACCGGAUAAGACCACGAUACGGGAGUAUAGUGGGAAAACGAUGGCCUCUGACUUAAGCUAUCGCGUAGAGAUGGGCCCACGGCCUAUCAGCUUGUUGGCGGGGUAACGGCCCACCAAGGCUUCGACGGGUAGCCGGCCUGAGAGGGUGAACGGCCACACUGGAACUGAGACACGGUCCAGACUCCUACGGGAGGCAGCAGUGGGGAAUUUUGCGCAAUGGGCGAAAGCCUGACGCAGCAACGCCGCGUGAGGGACGAAGGCCUUCGGGUUGUAAACCUCUUUUAAUCGGGAAGAACCCC